ACCUCGAUGUCGGCUCGUCACAUCCUGGGGGUGUAGCAACUCCCAAGGGUUCGGCUGUUCGCCGAUUAAAGUGGCACGCGAGCUGGGUUUAGAACGUCGUGAGACAGUUCGGUCCCUAUCCGCCGUGCGCGCAGGAGAUUUGAAGGGAUCUGUCCCUAGUACGAGAGGACCGGGAUGGACGAACCGAUGGUGUACCGGUUGUUGCGCCAGCAGCACCGCCGGGUAGCUAAGUUCGGAAAGGAUAACCGCUGAAAGCAUCUAAGUGGGAAGCCAACCCUAAGAUGAGAUCUCCCCAGGACUUCGGUCCUCUGAAGGGCUGUCCGAGACCAGGACGUUGAUAGGCUGGAGGUGGAAGCACAGCAAUGUGUGGAGCUGACCAGUACUAAUCGCCCGUGAGGCUUGACCAU
rnacentral:rRNA from 1 species